AGUGAACGCUGGCGGUAGGCCUAACACAUGCAAGUCGAACGGAAGCACAGUAAGAGCUCGCCCUUACGGGUGGCGAGUGGCGGACGGGUAAGACGUGCAUGGCAUACAUAUUUUCCUUGGGGAAUAUCGUGGGAAAGCUUCUAAUACAACAUAAUAGAUCUAACGGCUGAAGUCAGGGGUUAUCGGAGCUUUUGCGGUCACAUUGAGCUGGUUCCGUGUCGCAUUAGCUAGUUGGUAAGGUAACGGCCCACCAAGGCGACGAUCCGUAGCUGGUCUGAGAGGAUGAUCAGCCACACUGGAACUGAGACACGGUCCAGACUCCUACGGGAGGCAGCAGUGGGGAAUAUUGGACAAUGGGCGCAAGCCUGAUCCAGCCAUACCGCGUGAGUGAAGAAGGCCUUCGGGUUGUAAAACCCUUUUAUUGGGAAAGAAAAGCAGCAGGAUAAUACCCCGCUGUUCUGACGGUACCCAAAGAAUAAGCACCGGCUAACUUCGUG
rnacentral:rRNA from 1 species